CCCUUAGAUGUUCUGGGCUGCACGCGUGCUACACUGAUAUUGCCAAUAUGUCAUUCUUAUCCGAAAUGGAUUGGGUAAUCAAGUAAUGAAAUUUCAUGCUUGGAAUCGGUAAUUGCAAUUUUAACGUGAACGAGGAAUUCCUAGUAAGCACUAGUCAUCAGCUAAUGUUGAUUAUGUCCCUGCCCUUUGUACACACCGCCCGUCGCUACUACUGAUUGGGUGUUCAAGUGAGAUGCUUAGACCCUUGUUGCAUGGUUCAUUAUUGUGCUCCGAAAGGAAAAAGUUUCAAGCUUGAGUGUCUAGAGGAAGUAAAAGUCGUAACA
rnacentral:rRNA from 1 species